rnacentral:rRNA from 1 species
UACGUAGGGUGCGAGCGUUGUCCGGAAUUAUUGGGCGUAAAGAGCUCGUAGGCGGUGUGUCACGUCGGCCGUGAAAACCUGCAGCUUAACUGUGGGCUUGCGGUCGAUACGGGCAUCACUGGAGUUCGGCAGGGGAGGACUGGAAUUCCUGGUGAUAGCGGUGAAAUGCGCAGACUAUCAGGAGGAACACCGGUGGGCGAAGGC